rnacentral:lncRNA from 1 species
GGGUGUUAGUUUCUGCUUUCCUUCACUGUGCAGCUUUGCAUGUCACGAGACAGGUGUUUACAUUCCACAGUCUGUACUGUCUGUACUGUUGGAGUUUCUCACGGGAAAGGGAGACUGGAUGUGACGUACACUGGUUUCCUGUUUUUUUCACUGUGUGAUUCUCUCCGAGCUGAGAGAGGAGAGAGGAUGCAUUUUCUGCUCCUGCAGAGGCAAGAUGUCUUUCUGUAAUAUACCAGCAUUGAACUGUAAAUAAAGCAAUAUAGAGUAUGCAGCACAUUUUCUUCAUCCUUCCGCUGGCCACGAGGCUCUGCUUUAAAUCAACACGUGGUUAUGGGCUCCAGGGGUCGAAUCGGAGUGCCGGCAGAGGAUCGGAAUGCAGAGGAACGGAUCGGAAAGGAAUCUGCUCUGCGCGUAGGGAUGAUUGAUGAGGUAUGUGCUACUGCUCCGGGCAGCCUGCCAGCUUCAAGUUAAUGGCUUUAUGGCUGGACUUUGAACUUUUAAAGCCGGUUUUGCCGGGAAUAGGCAAAAGGCUCCCAGGCACAAGUCACUAUGCUGGGGAAAUCGAAAGUAACUUUUAAGUGUGCCUUUGUAAUCAGGCAGCUGCAGCAGUGACGCAGCAAGAUUUAAAGCAGCAUAGAUAUGACGCUGAAGGCUAAUGCCAGAGUCAUGAUGGCCCUUCAGGAUGCUUGUGGGAUUCCUAAGCUCAACAAGAAAAAUUACAGCGACUGGGUUCAGUAUGCAGAGGCAAUUCUGCGGAAAGAGGGUUUGUUUGAGGUGAUUACAGAAACCCCCCCAGUUCCAGUUACAGAUGCCUGGGAAGCUAAGGAUUCCAAAGCAAGGGGAACUCUUACAUUGAUAGUAUCCCCAGAAGAGCUCUGUCUGUUGCGUGAUAAGACCUCAGCCAGAGAAAUUUGGGACGCUCUGAAAGAGGCUCACUUAAGGACAGAAGCUGGAUCCACUAUGUUUUAUUUUAACAAACUGCAUAAUAUGGCUCUUGCUGAAGGUGGAGAUGUGCGUUUACAUCUGAUGGAGAUGCAAAAUCUGAGACAUGAGCUGCAACAGAGAGGACUCAACUUUCCAGAGGCUGUGUAUUCUUUCAUGAUACUACAAUCUUUGGGUUCAGGUUGGGAGUCUGUUGCAACCCAGAUUGCUGUGCAACCAACUGCUCAGCUGACAGUGGACUUUGUUACUGCCGUGAUUUUAAAUGAAGCAGAUCGCCGGGGUGCUAGCUGCAUGGGCAAGGAGAGUCUUCACAGACGUCAUCCCAUAGUGCAGUGGAACCACCAGAUGGCGCCAAAGCUUUGAAGGCAGUCGAAUGCUACUCGUGUGGACGUCUAGGCCAUAUGAAGAGGGAAUGCAGACAUCCCAGGGCCAAGACAGAGCAGCGCAGCGAAGCUCAUCGCGCGGAAAAGGCCGAGGCAAAGGCAAAGGUCCGGUGUCUAGGACAACCCAGCACAAGGCUAUGGUUUCACGCUUCACUCCAAAGGUUGCAGAGGUCCAGAAGACGUCUAGAUCUUUCUUCGUUGUUGAUUCAGCGGCCACCCACCACAUGUGCAACGAUAAGAAACUGUUUGUGUCUUUUACACCGCAGGAAGGUGCGAUUCACCAGGCGGAUGACCACACUAUUCCCAGUAAAGGCUACGGAACUGUUGUUCUUCACAGUUUGGACUUAUCGAUACAGAAUGUGCUUUACGUGCCAGACGCCAAACAUAAUCUGCUCAGCGUUGGACAGCUGAAUGAGCGGAACAUUGACGUUUCCUUCAAGAACAAGAAGUGCAUCAUCACAAAGAAAAAUGAUUAUGUAUUGCAUGCAGAAUAUGUUGAUCAUUUGUUUGUUUUGUAUUAUGAUGAUGUGGUGCAGGAUGACACUUGUUGCAUUGCAGGUUCUAACAAAAGUUUGCAUGCAGAAUGUAUUCACGAUUUUCAUCGCAAAUUUGGUCAUUUGCAUUUUGAGGCAGUAUCUAAAAUGCCUGCCUUGGUUGAAGGUAUGACUAUUAAACCCUGCAGGUACCACAUGAAGUGCAAAGCAUGCGCAGCAAACAAGGUGAAAAUGGCUGCGAAAGGUAAGGUGUCUAGUAGGAAAGCUACAGAACCAUACCAGGUUGUUCAUGCUGAUUUGGUUGGUCCACUUGCGCCCUCUUUGGGUGGAAAUAGAUACUUCAUGGUUCUCAUUGAUGCAUUUUCUAGAUAUAUUUUUGUGUACAAUCUCAAGCAGAAAUCAGAGGCUUUUCCUAGGUUCAAGGAAUUCUGUGCUUGGUUGGAAAAUGUGCAUGGUAAGAAGAUAAAGACUCUUUUCAGUGAUCGCGGGGGGGAAUUCACUUCUCAGCAGUUUGAAGCUUUUCUGACUGAGAAAGGAAUUCAACACGAUUUGUCUAGUCCUCGCUCGCCAUGGCAGAAUGGACUUGCGGAACGGGCAAAUCAGACAUUGCUUCAAGGGUUAAAAACCUUGCUGCAUGAUGCCACUCUUCCAGAGAGUUAUUGGGCCGAAUCUCUCUCGUGUUUUGUUUACAGUUACAAUCGCAGGUUAUCUUCAGCGAUCGGUUGUACCCCCUAUGAGAAGAUGUUUGGCAAGAAGCCAUACAUCAAACACAUGAAGAUUUUGGUUCUGACAUGUGGGUUCGCUCACCACAAAACUCCAAGUUAGACAAGCGUGGAUUGCAUGGUAUCUUUCUAGGUUAUCAGAAAGGGUCUUACAGAAUAAUGAUGACUGACUCUAAGACAAUUAAGCUCACGAGAAGUGUUGAGUACAAUGCAAAGUGGGGGGAGAAUGUGGGAAUUUUCCAAUGUUAUCCUGAUGACGGUGAUGAGACUGAGGAUAGUCAAAAGCAACCGCAACAACCCACACCCACUGAUGAAGGUUCUGAGUCUGAAUCUGAAACUGAAUCAGGUGAUUCAGAGGAUUUCAAGAGUGCGAAAGCCUCUAUGCGACCCUCUGAAAGCUCUGAUCAAGAAUUGGAGGAACCAUUGUUCACAAUAGGUCGUUUUUCUCCUAAGAAGGAAGAGGAGAGUGUUGAAGACUUAAGGCUAAUUCGUAGGUCACAGAGAGCCACAAAAAGCAAACCUCCAAAGAGAUUUGCUGAUGAGUUUGCUACGAUAGCAGUAACAGCUAUUAAAAGCUCCAAGAAGGUAUUUGAACCUUCAAGUUUCCAAGAAAUCCAGGGUUUGGAUUCAAAGGAAGCUGAGCCAUGGUUAAAUGCCAUGAAGGCUGAGCUUGAUUCCUUAGAAAGGAACAAAACAUGGGAGCUAGUUCCAGUAGUUCCAGGAAUGAAACUGCUUGGAAGCAAAUGGGUCUUCAAAGCGAAGACAGAUCAAAAUGGCAAGAUAGUCAGACACAAAGCCAGAUUGGUAGCCAGAGGUUUUGCACAGGUACCAGGUGAAGACUAUCACGAAACCUAUUCACCCACAGUGAGAUAUGAAAGCAUUAGGCUUAUGCUCAAGCUAGCUGCAGAGGAAAAUCUACACAUUAGUCACCAUGAUAUUAAUACAGCUUUUCUGUACGGAUCUCUAGAUGAAUCACUUUAUAUGCUUCCACCUGAUGGCGUACAGGUAAAACAGGGAUUUGUUUGUGCUCUGAAGAAAUCCCUUUAUGGUCUCAAACAAAGUGCACGGUGUUGGCACACAAAACUCACUGAAGUAUUGUUUUCUCUAGGUUUUCAGCAAGGAAAGCUGAUCCAUGUGUAUUUGUCAAAGAGGAGGGCAAAAGAAACUGUACUGUUUGUUUUAUGUUGAUGAUUUAUUAUUCUUUUGGAAAGAUGUUGCAAUGUACAAUAGCGCCCUAGCUCAACUGAAAGAGCACUUUGACAUGAAAGAUCUUGGUGAGGUAAACAACUACCUAUCUCUGGAAAUAGAGAGAGAUCAAGGUGGUAACAUUCUAGUACACCAGUCACGGAAAAUUGCUGAUGUGUUAAGCAAACUAAAUCUGAUGGAUGCUAACCCUGUAGACACACCGAUGACAACAGGUUAUCAGGUAGAUGACACUGAAGAAGCAUUUUCUGACACUACACUGUACAGGAGUGUGCUAGGCAAGCUAAACUUCAUUGCCAGAUGUUCAAGACCAGACAUUGCUGUUAGCUGUAAUUUGCUAAGCAGACAAGUCAACAAUCCUAGUGUCAAGGAUUGGAAAGCUCUGAAACGCAUAGCGCGGUAUUUGAAAGGCACUAUGCAUUACAGACUGAGAUUUAACAAUCAGAAGUCUGGUGGUCUUGAGAUAUUUGCAGAUGCAAGUUUUGGAAGUGACGCUACAGACAGGAAAAGUACGUCUGGAGUUUGCUAUAUGUACAAUCAGAGUCUGUUUGAUUGGUCAUGCAAGAAGCAAACAACAGUUAGCUUAAGUACUUGUGAAGCCGAACUGAAUGCACUGUCUUAUUCACUUAAGGAUUGUGAAUGGUUAGAACAAUUGUGCAAAGAUAUGAAAAUUCCUGUCAAAUGUCCAAUCCAGGUUUACCAGGACAACAAAGCAUGUUUGGCUUUGCUGAAGUCUGAAGGUUGUAAGCAAAGCACAAAGCACUUGCAAUUAAAGUUGCAGCAUGCUAGGGAAUGUAUUCAGAAGGGACUCGUAACGGUGUCCUAUAUGCCAAGUAAUGAAAUUCCUGCUGAUGUAUUGUCCAAGAUUGUAUCAAGGGAUCAACACUGUACCUAUGUACAGAAGUUGGGUUUGUACUGAUAUUGUGCAAACACGCUGCCCAGUGAUGUUCACAGAAAGGGGGAGGAUGUUAGUUUCUGCUUUCCUUCACUGUGCAGCUUUGCAUGUCACGAGACAGGGGUUUACAUGGGACCAGUGGCCAUGAUCUUUGUUUUUUUGAUGUUGAGCUUCAGACCAUAUUUUGUGCUCUCCUCUUUCACCCUCGUUAAAAGGUUCUUUAAUUCCUUCUCACUUUCUGCCAUCAAGGUUGUAUCAUCUGCAUAUCUGAGGUUGUUGGUAUUUCUUCCGGCAAUCUUAAUUCCGGCUUGGGUUCAUCCAGCCCAGCCUUUCGCAUGAUGAAUUCUGCAUAUAAUUUAAAUAAGCAGGGAGACAAUAUACAGCCUUGUUGUACUCCUUUCCCAAUUUUGAACCAAUCAGUUAUUCCAUAUCCAGUUACCCCUUACGAACUACAAUUCCCAGCACUCUUAACAAACCCCAAGGGUCAAUGAGUCCAACCCCUGGCAAUGCAGGAAGCUCAGCUAAAGCAUCCAUGACAGAGGGCCACCCAACUUCUGCUUAAAAAUCUCCAAGGAAGGAGAGUCCACAACCUCUCGAGGGAGACUGUUCCACUGUUGAACAGCUCUUACUAUCAGAAGGCUCUUCCUGGUGUUUAGUUGGAAUCUCUUUUCUUGUAACUUGAAGCCAUUGGUUCGAGUUCUGCCCUCCAGAGCAGGGGAAAACAAGCUUGCUCCACGUGACAGCCCUUAAGGUAGUUCAAGAUGGCUAUCAUAUGAGAAGCAACUCUGAUCUUUUCUUUAGUCUCUGCCUUCUAAUCUGUUGGUUCUGUUAUGGCUAUUAAGUACGGACAGGCGCAGAUUGCUGUGCCUGCAACUUGGUGUUUUGUUUUGUUUUUAAUGACGCCUCCCCACCAAGAAGUGUGCAAAAGCACACAGUUUGGCAAUUGUGAAUUCGCAGUUCCCUGGUUUUGAGCAAAUCGGGAGAGAUAAAAAGUGAGGGGUAUUCCUCCCUUCCCGAGCACAUCAGAAAUAUUUAGAAGCACAGCCAAAACAGAAAUGAAAGCUUUGAGGAGUGUGCAGGCAUGGAAAAAAGAAAAGCAGAAAAUGACAAUUGGUUCACAUACCCCGAGUGGAGUGUUUAGGAGCCUGAUGUUCCCCCAAAAUAUCAGAUUAUCAUCAUAUCAGGCAUGGGCAUAGGCGGGGGGGCAGCUGUCCCCCCAAUAAAUAAAAAUAAAUAAAAAUACAUAGGUAACUGAGAUUCUGUCCCCGCAACAAGAGACCUGCCCCCCCAACAAAAGGCCUGGCUACACCCAUGAUAUCAGGUAAUCCCAAAUUUAUAGGGGGGGAGCAUCAGGAUUGGUGUUUUUUGAGGACUAUGGAUGUGGGCUAUGCAAAUUAAAUGGGACAAGCCCAAGACCCUCACAGAACUUAGUUUCUCAUCUUUCUAGUGUUAAAGGAAACUGCUGCAAAGGUUAAGUCCACAUGCAUUUUUUUCUGCAGAAGUGAAAGUUUCAUUUCUCAGCUUGCAAGUCGAAGAACAGAAACCAAUAGUGCUGCAGUCUUGCUUCAUCGGUGGAAAUAGGCUAGACAUGAGACUGGAGGCAAACCAGCUGGGCUACUGGCCCCAGCCAGGAUGUGUAAGAUAGGGCCCUUUGCCCUCCUUCUUAAACAGAGGGUCUUUCUUUCAUCUCUAGCUGGAGAAGCCAGGGAUUGAACUUGGGACCUUCUACAAGUACUUGUAAAGCAGUUGCCUUACCACUGAGCUAUGUCUUUAUGUUCCCACCUGAGUGUUGUAAAUAAUGGGUUGACUCUGGCGCAGGCACUGUAAUACUGGUUGGCAUCUGACUGUCUCAACAGGCAAUGGAGUGUGCCUCCGAGGGUGAAGUCAAUCUGCAGUGUUAGCAGUACUGAAGUGCUGGGUUUCCUGCAUUGGCAGGGGGGUUGACUAGAGACCUUUGAGGCCCUUUCCAAUUUUAUUAUCUGUGUGCCGACACAUAAUAGAGAAGAAAAUGACCUGUCCCUGACCCCAAGAGGUUUGCAGCCUAUGAAGCAACAUGGCGAGAAAGAAGGGAAGGACACUGAGACAAAGAUGUUGGCUUUUGCAGUAUGGUAGCGCUGCAGAGAGCUUGCUGGGGAGACCAUGCAUUAAAAAGGGACUCAAAAAUAACUUAAACAAGGUUUUAAUUACAAAAACAAAAACUCCUUAUACACUAAAUACAUCAACAACAAACCAGACCCAACCACCAACCCAUCCCCCAGGGUAAUGGGAGAGCUAGGUGCUGCUCCUUAUAUACUACACCCAAUUGCCAACACAGCUUAAUCAGUACAACUCAGCAGCACCUGCUAUGUUUCACAGCUGUAAAGCUGGGUCUCGUUAUCUUGCUCUGGCCCUUGCUCUGGCCCCUUAAAGACAUACACAUCGGGUGGAACAGUGAUGAACCUAUACAUUUAAAGAAAACAUUCAACAUAAGGAUGUGGAGGAAGCUAUCGGGAAGUUGCUGCAACCUGGCCUGGAUUUUAAGCAAGUACAUACUCUCCAACAUUUCUCUGAUGAAAAUAGGGACGUCCCAUUCCACCAUGAUAAUUUGACUAUUUAUACACCACACAUCUUAAUGGGUUGCCCCAGCACUCUGGGCAGCUUCCAAUAUAUACUGUAUAAAAACAUAAGAAAACAUUAAACAUUACAAAACUUCCCUAUACUGGAUUGCCUUCAGAUGGCUUGGGAGUCGGAUAACUCCAUAUCAUCCAACAUUUCUCCAGUGAAAAUAGGGACAUCCUACCAUACCCUCCAACAUUUCUCCAAUAAAAAUAGGGACAGCCUGAAGAAAAGCAAGACAUUCCAGAAUCAAGAAGAAGAAGAAGAGUUUGAAUUUGAUACCCCGCUUUAUCACUACCCAAAGGAGUCUCAAAGCGGCUAACAUUCUCCUUUCCCUUCCUCCCCACAACAAACACUCUGUGAGGUGAGUGGGGCUGAGAGACUUCAGAGAAGUGUGACUAGCCCAAGGUCACCCAGCAGCUGCAUGUGGAGGAGCGGAGACGCAAACCCGGUUCCCCAGAUUACGAGACUACCGCUCUUAACCACUACACCACACUGGCUCUCAAAUCAGGAACUGGGACGGCUUCUCAAAAUUAGGGAUGCCCCUGGAAAAUAGAGACACUUGGAGCGUCUGCAGGUAGGCAGGCAGGUGGGCGCUGCUUGAGGACAGAAUCAGGUUGGUGGAGCUGUGCCCCAUUUGCACCAAUGAGCUAGGUUGCACUAGGCAUCUUGGGGGAAAGGGAUGGAGACACUGCUUGUCCAAUAUGGUAUUUUUAUUGGAAGAAAAUGUCUGGAAUGGUGUGUGUGUGUGUGUGUGUGUGUGUGUGCACAACACCCACCCACAGCAUGAGUCCAUGACUCUGCUGUACUGCUACCACAAGAAAGAGAGAGGAGGAGGAGGAAGAGGAGGAGGAGGCGGCAAGUGGCAGGUGUUUGCAGGUGACUUAACAUUCCCAUCCCUAUUUUUCCUCUUUCCCUUUUGUAACAGGCAGCAAAAAGGGCAACAGAGUGGUGAGGAUCACAGCACAAGCCUCAGGGGGAGAGAAAGUGCUGAAGGGGUAAGCAGCUGUACUACUCCAGACAUUUUUCGAUUGGGCUGAUUAUCUAGAUCAUAAUAUUUUCUUUUUUUAAGAGGGACUUGGGGACCACAAAAGCAUUUUCACCUAACAAUUGUAUCAAGGGGAAUGCAGGAGUAGUCAGUUUUAAAAUAGACAUCUAAAAAUAAAUUAAAAACAUUUUUUAAAUGGACAAAUUAGGGGGUUUCAGAAAAUGUUUGGCAUCUCAGUGAAGCAGUAAGGCGGAAGAAACAUUACUAAGUUUUUUAAAUUAAUAGACAAAUGGGGGUGCUUGGUGCGCCAGAAAAAAUGUUUGGUGUCACAGUAUCGAAGCAAGGAAGCAGGCAGCAAUAUAUAUUUUUGAAAAUGUGGGGAAGGAACUAAAAUAAAAUAUUUAGGCAGGUUGUGGGUUUGCUGCCCUGAUCUAGAUCCAUUUUAAUCUGGGUUCGAGACUAGGUUCCAUGCUAAAAAAACACCUUCAUCACCCUGCUGAAUGACCAGCACUGGGAGAAGACAUGCAGACAACUGUGAUCCAGUCAGUUUUCUUAAGCCUCUCUGCAGAUUUCAGAAUCACAACCACAGUAGCUUUCUCUAGCCUGGCUGUUCAGGAUGGGAGCUGAAGCAACUUUGCUACAGUCGUUCUCAUCCUACUUGCUGAAAGACUGUUUCCCAGAAGCUGGUGCUGGAGGAACUUUCUGCUGAGGCCCACAAUGCAUGUUUUGUGAGGUUCCGUAAGGCUGUGUCUUCUUCCUCCCUUUGUUUCAGCAUUGCAUAAGUCCACUGAAUGAAGUCAUAGAAUUGUAGAACUGAACAAUUCCCUUUAAUCCCACCGCUUAUAACUCUUUCUCUCCCCACCCCCCCUUGUGUGUGUGUGUGUGUGUGUGUGUGAGAGAGAGAGAGAGAGAGAGAGAGAGAGAGAAGUUUAAGUGAGGCUUACAUGUCAUACAUCUGGUCACGUGGGUCCUAGUCCAUGAAAGCUUAUGCCACAAUAAAUGUGUUGGUCUUCCAGGUACCACAAGACUCUGCUGUUUUGCAGCAACAUAUUCUGCUGCCCCACUGGGAAGUGUUGAUAUUUCAGUACUGAAUAAUUUGAAUAGCUAUUUUAAUUCCUCCCACCAAAUGUUUUCCGUAGCAAAGGUGCCACUUUUUUCUUUCUUUUUUAACAGAAGCAUGUCUUUGUUCCUGUAACAACUGCCCAACAGACAGAAUGAAGAAGAAGCCCUGCUGGAUCAGACCAAAUGGCCAUUUAAUACAGCCUCCUCACAGCCGCCAACCAGAUGCCUAUAGAACAUCAGCACAAAAGCCCUCUCCCCAUUUCUGCUCCCUGGCAGCUGAUAUUUCGAGAGACCAUAAAGAAGAGCCCUGCUUAUGGAUCGAGCCAAAGGGUCUUUGGGUUGCCAUACUUUGAAGAGAAAAAAAGAGGACAUAUUUGCCGACAUCUACUUUUAACUAUUUGAGGGACAUGGGUGGUGCUGUGGGUUAAACCACAGAGCCUAGGACUUGCCGAUGACGGUCGGCGGUUAAAAUCCCCGCAACAAGCUGUAGCCGGCUCCCUCAGCCAAUAAAGCAAGAUGAACGCAACCCUCAGUCACGACUGGACCUAAUGGUCAGGGGUCCCUUUACCCUUUACCUUUACUUUUAACUAUGGAUCUCUAUAGCAACUCUCAUCAUGAAAAAGAGGACCUGUCCUGGAAAAAGAGGGUAUAUGGCAACCCAGCAUCCUGUACUCGCAGUGACCAACCAGAUGCCUGUGGGAAGCCGGGAAGCAGAGCCUGAUUGUAGAACAUUAGCCACUAAUAGCAUGCUCCUCCAUGGAUUUGUCCGACUCACUUUUAAAGCCAUCCAGUUUGGUGUUCUCUUGUGGGAGUGAAUGCCAAAGUUUUGUAAUUAACGAUGGAAAGAGCGAUGUUAUCUAUGAAGGCGAUGAUAUAUGGAAACCAUCUCGAUUUGAGGAUUGGAAGAACGGAAAAAUUCACACAGGAUUAUUAUUGGUGUUUAUCGGCUUAAGGAGACUAUCAGAAGAGAUCAUAAAGAAAAAAGAGAAAAUAUAUGAACAAGAUGUGAUGUGGAAACAGCAAGAUAAGACUGGACAGAAUUAUGAACUCUGUUUGGAUUGAUUUGGACUGGGAUUUGGACAUUAAAGCAGUAGCAAGAAGAUGAUCAGAACCCCCCUUCGGAUCUUGAAAUAUGGGUCCCCUCAACAACAAAAUUUAAAAUUCGGCUUUGUGAUUCGGAAUUUAUGUGAUGUGAUUUAAUUUGAUUUGAUUGGCCGGUUAAUAAAAAUUAUUUUUUUUUAAAAA